UACGGAGGGCGCAAACGUUAAUCGGAAUUACUGGGCGUAAAGCGCGCGUAGGUGGCUCGAUAAGUGGGAUGUGAAAGCCCUGGGCUCAACCUGGGAACUGCAUUCCAAACUGUCGGGCUAGAGUAUGGUAGAGGGAGGUAGAAUUUCCUGUGUAGCGGUGAAAUGCGUAGAUAUAGGAAGGAAUACCAGUGGCGAAGGCGGCCUCCUGGACCAAUACUGACGCUGAGGCGCGAUAGCGUGGGGAGCAAACAGG
rnacentral:misc_RNA from 1 species